UGUCUUUUUUGAAGUCUACUUUUUGACGUAUUGGAAGAACGAAGAAUUCUUUCAGUAAAAAAAAGUAUUUUAUUAAAAUAUUUUUUGUGCAAAGAUAAAUGUCGGGGAAAAUAAUUGAACCAUGUUAGAAAAAGAUGCAAAUUUAUCACAUAUGGAAUCGUGUUGGAAGGAAGGAGGGCCAAAUGCAUCAACAACACCAUCCGCAACAGCAUUAUCACACCAGCAUCAACAACAACUAGGUACCUAAUAUCUUUGCAAUUUUAUGCUUACGCUGAGGACUGCUCCAAGACAAUUAUCUAGAUGAAAACAUCCAAAAGCCGUGUUUCAUUUUCAGGACUCCUGAUGAGGAUUAAAAUAAAGCUAUCCAUCUAAUCAUCGACGAAAAAGAAAUUGUAUUUGACGACUCAUGAAUUCCGGGUGCACUGAGCGUACUUUCGAGAGGACUGACAAAAGAGUAGAUCUCUCAACGAAUAUAAUUUAUAUCCUGUUUCUACACAUUCACAAAGUUUCAUCCUAUGAUUGUGCAGUAUAAGAUUGGUUAUGUAUUGUUAGCAUGGAUGUCAUUGAAUUGGAACUACGGCGCUACGCAAUUAUGCGUAAAGGAUUUUCAUCUUCGAAAUUAUCCCAACACUAAGCUCAGUAAAGAGAAACAACCUAAAGAGAUAGAACCCCCACGCGUAUCCCCGAAUUAAAACUACGCCCAAAACCUGGUAAUUGGAAUAGCUUUCAUGGUUCCAUGUCGUCAAUCACUCAUCAUCCCUUAUAAAGAGUAUAAUUUUAGGUAUCAGAAACACCUAUCUUCAAGAUCUACACGACCCGAAGCCAAAACCAACAGCAAUAUGAAGCAUUAGCUUCAAACGAUCCAAAAGUAAAAAAAGAAGAAUAUGAAUGAUUGAAUAAACAAUUGAAAAUAUUCGUCAAGAAACAAGAACCACUCUUCAGAGUUGCCUUCUAUCUUCUGCUCAAUAUGGCUGAGAAUGUUGAACUUUAAGAGAAGAUACAUCGUAAAAAUAUAGUCAAUAUGCUUGCCAAGCUAGUGACGAUGACAAAGUUCCUUAAGAAACUUUAAAUAUUUGGUGAUAAUAAAGCUAACAUGAACGACCUAAACAUUGUCGCCAAAGCUGAUGCAGCAGUGGCUGAUGAAGCAAUGGCAAUGCUGACCCAAUACAAGAUAACCUUAAGUUAGUUUUCAGUUUAUCCCUUGAUGGAUCAUUACGUCGGAAAAUGUAUCAAGCUGCAUUACUACCAAUGUUGGUGAUGUUUUUAUAAAGAAAAGCAUCAUGGUAUUGCUUUGAAAAUCUUGUUUCACAUAACUUUGGAUGGUAAGGUAAAAUCAAUGUUAACCAAACAGAAUAUGUGCGAAUGGCAACUGAUGCUAUAUAAUUCUCAAUAUAAAUACCAAAGUUGACCUCGUUGCGCUAUGCAUUCCUUUGCUAAACAAAUAACGUUAUGUACAAAUAAUGGUCGCUGGCAAUGGCCUACACAAUCUAAUGAAUCAAGCCUUUAAAUAUCAGGAUGCUGUUCUAAUAAAACGUAUUCAAAAUCUAUCACCGCAUAAAAAUCUUCAACACAUUAUGUUUAUCGAUUAUGUGAAAUUUGGCCCGCAUCAAAUCACAGUGAAUAAGAAACCGAAAUUUCUUCACGUAUCCGAAAUCACAAAGGCUGGCAGAGUCAAUCACGAGUUGGUGACUACUGUGUUUGUGAAAGAUGUGGUGAGUGCGGAGCAAUGUUGGAUGAAUACAAAUUUAAUUCCAUGGCAGUACGCGAGUACUACAAAAUUUUUUUUGGAUCAUCGUCUGCAGCAGGUUACUCUUGAUAGCAAUGCCAGGAGGACAUCAUUGGAAUUCGGAGCGACCCAGAGUGCCCUAGAGCUCACAACAAACCUUAUGUAAUUGACUGCAUCCAGAAGAAUUUCUCUGAAAAUACUGGAGCCCAAACACCUAAAACGAUUUGGUGUCUGUUUAAAUACAAUAAACCAAGUAAUGCGAUCAAGUAUGAUGCGCAAAAUGUAUGAAACUGAAUAUUAUGUACAUAUUUUAUAAACCACUUUUGUAAUGAACAAAAAGUAUUGUUUAAAAAUGUUGAUAAAGUAUGAACUUAGUUGUUAAAUAAGUAUAAUAAUACUCUGUUCCUACUUAUUUUUUCAAUAACUAACAACCACAGAUUGAGUGAUUAUAAAAAUUCUUGAAUUAAAU